rnacentral:rRNA from 1 species
UACAGAGGUGGCAAGCGUUGUUCGGAAUUACUGGGCGUAAAGGGCGCGUAGGCGGUCUUCUAAGUCUUGUGUGAAAUCCCUCGGCUCAACUGAGGAACUGCACGGGAUACUGGAAGACUUGAGUUCGGGAGAGGGAAGCGGAAUUCCGGGUGUAGCGGUGAAAUGCGCAGAUAUCAGGAGGAACACCGGUGGCGAAGGCGGGUCUCUGGGCCGAUACUGACGCUGAGGAGCGAAAGCGUGGGGAGCAAACAGG